rnacentral:rRNA from 1 species
UGCACGCUGGCGGCGUGCCUAAUACAUGCAAAUCGAGCGAACGGACGAGAAGCUUGCUUCUCUGAUGUUAGCGGCGGACGGGUGAGUAACACGUGGAUAACCUACCUAUAAGACUGGGAUAACUUCGGGAAACCGGAGCUAAUACCGGAUAAUAUUUUGAACCGCAUGGUUCAAAAGUGAAAGACGGUCUUGCUGUCACUUAUAGAUGGAUCCGCGCUGCAUUAGCUAGUUGGUAAGGUAACGGCUUACCAAGGCAACGAUGCAUAGCCGACCUGAGAGGGUGAUCGGCCACACUGGAACUGAGACACGGUCCAGACUCCUACGGGAGGCAGCAGUAGGGAAUCUUCCGCAAUGGGCGAAAGCCUGACGGAGCAACGCCGCGUGAGUGAUGAAGGUCUUCGGAUCGUAAAACUCUGUUAUUAGGGAAGAACAUAUGUGUAAGUAACUGUGCACAUCUUGACGGUACCUAAUCAGAAAGCCACGGCUAACUACGUG